rnacentral:snRNA from 1 species
GAGUGCUUACAGCUCUUUUUGAAUUUGUCCAGCAGGUC